GUCCUUUAGUAAAUAUAAUUUAAGGUCUAACCUGCCCAUUGAUAAGUUAAAAGGCCGCAGUAAUUUGACUGUGCAAAGGUAGCAUAAUCAUUAGUUUUUUAAUUAAAAGCUUGUAUGAAUGGUUGGACGAGAUAAAGUCUGUCUCUUAAUAAAAAAUAGAAUUUAAUUUUUAAGUUAAAAAGCUUAAAUAUAAAUAAAAGACGAGAAGACCCUAUAGAUCUUUAUAUAAUUUUUUUUAGUAUUAAUAAAGAAAAUUUUAUUUAUUAAUUUAGUUUAUAUUUUAUUGGGGUAAUAAAAAGAUUAAAUAAAUUCUUUUAUAAAAAACAAAGAUUAUUGAUUAUAUGAUCCAUUAUUAAUGAUUAAAAGAUUAAGUUACCUUAGGGAUAACAGCGUAAUUUUUUUAGAGAGUUCUUAUCAAUAAAAAAGUUUGCGACCUCGAUGUUGGAUUAAAAGUAAUCUCAGGUGCAGAAGUUUGGGAUUUUGGUCUGUUCGACCAUUAAAUUUUUACAUGAUCUGAGUUUAGACCGGCGUAAGCCAGGUUGGUUUCUAUCUUUAUUAAUUUAAUAUAUUUUAGUACGAAAGGACCAAAUAUAUAAUAUAUUUAUAUUUAUUUUUUGAAUAG
rnacentral:rRNA from 1 species